UACGGGGGGGGCAAGCGUUGUUCGGAAUUACUGGGCGUAAAGGGCGUGUAGGCGGUCAGAUAAGUCAGCUGUGAAAACCUCGGGCUUAACCCGAGGCCUGCAGUUGAAACUGUUUGGCUGGAGUGUGGGAGAGGAGAGUGGAAUUCCCGGUGUAGCGGUGAAAUGCGCAGAUAUCAGGAGGAACACCGGUGGCGAAGGCGGGUCUCUGGGCCGAUACUGACGCUGAGGAGCGAAAGCGUGGGGAGCGAACAGG
rnacentral:rRNA from 1 species